GCAAUUCAUAUCAAGCGCCAGGGAAAGAACACAGAACUUUGAUUUACUAUUUCCAAUUUCCGGAAUUUAUCCCAAGAAAAAAGAUACAUGCUCAACACCAAUUUUUCUAAGAGGAACUAGAUUUGUAUACAUGGUCAGUAACAGGAUAACUAAGUGCAACUCUACCUAUGCAUAUAAUAUAAAUAUUCAACACUAUGCAAAUACAUAAAUGCUGUGAGCAGAACAGGGGAGUAAUGGUUAGAGACAGCCGAAUAUGGACAAGAUGGGUAUCCUGCAGCAGGUUCAACAAUGUUGGUGAAUUAGUUUUAUUUGUGGAUUUAAAUUUUUGAACUGCUGAUCACACUGGCUCAUCCCUCAAAGCCCCAUGCCACAUUCAGACUCCUCACAAAGCCUAAACACCCAAGUGGCGCCAAUUUGAAAAGAAGCAGAAACCCCCCUAUCAAUGGAAGGGACUUGAGCCAAAGCAUGUCCAGGUAGAAUAAUAACUGCUACCUUUCUGUAACAUCUAGGUCCUCUCUGUCUCUGCAGGGAGGAGCUCCGAGUGGAAUAAAAUCGUCAUUUUGGGGGUAAAUAUCAGUGGCUCAGCAUGGCCUGGCUCACUGACAGCAGAGGCCAUGUGAGACCUGAGCUGCCUGCCUCAGUUCCCACAGCUAGGCUGGGCUCCCAACAGCGCCUGGCUGGGCCAAGACCCCGGGGCUGCACGCGAGGCCUGGCCAUUCUAACCCUGACGGAGAGGAGGGAGAAAGGAAGCUAGGGGCCCUUCAGGACCCAGGCUGGGUCGCCCCGAGCGCCGGUCCCGCCGCCGCCCCGGCCCGCGAACCCGCCGGCAGGACUCACUGCGCCGCUAACGUCGGGGACACCAGGCCGCACCGCCGCUCGCCGCCGGCUCACGCCCGCCUACCUGGCCCAGGCCCCAGGCCCCAUCCCCCGCCCCACAGCAGCCUAGGCCGAGGAAAGAGGAGCGCUGCGGUCUCCAGAUGGCAUCUCUACCAGCAAAAUGGCGACUCCACACACAAGACCAGCAAUAGCUGCGAGGGCGAGGCUGGGGGAUGGGCGAGACAGAGCGGGAUGUGGAGAAAAGUCAGAAGUCACAAGGGUCCAGAUCUGAUGAAUCAGGUGGGUGAGGACACACCAAAAUAUAUUUAUGAGCUGUCCUUUCCAUUGGAUGGCACUCAGCAGCAUCAGUCACUAUAUUAUUUAUCUCAAUUUGUAGACAAUUGUAUAAGUGGACUUCCAAAACUGCUUCAAAAAAGCAAGAACAAAUGAAGAAGUGUCUUUGAAGCAAGGAGGUGUAUUUUAUUUAUUUUAAGGAGGUAUUUUUUAAAGGAGAAUUAAUGGGCACAUAUCUUUUAUUGUAGUAAAUUUAAAAAUUUUUAAUAUUAGCUGUUUAUUUGUUUUAUUUUUAUAAUUAGUAUAUCUUGAUCAGCCCUUGUACUUCUUCCAUAAGAUUGUUAAUUAAACAUCUGCAUAUUCACUGUCCCUAAUACAAAAUGAUUGGGACCAGAUGUGUUUGGAAUUUGUGAAUUUUUGGUUUAUUGGAGAAUUUGCAUAUAUAUAAUAAGUUAUCUUGAGGAUGGGAUCUAAGUCUAAACAUGAAAUUUAUUUAUAGAUCAUAUAUACUUCAUAUUCAUAGCUUGAAGAUAAUUUUAUAUUAUAUUUUUAAUAAUGUCGUGUUUAACAUGUGUACUGAGUUGUUUUCCUGUUGUGGGAAAUUGAAAAUGUAGAUAAGAACCAAAAUAAAAUACAUAUUGUGAAUGUUAUCUAAUGAGAUGGGGAAUUAGGGAUGGAGGAGGGCGAAAGGAAGGAAGGCAAAAAAAAUUAAUGAGAAAAGAAAGAAACAAAGCUUUCAUAAAUAAGGAGGGGAAGAGACUUGAAGGAAAGGUAGGGGAAUGGAGAAAAAAGAUUCAUAUCAUGUAUGCUACAAAUUUCCCGUGGUUAACAUGAUCAUAAUUUACACCUAAAAUGUGCCAAUAAUCUUAAUUAAAAAACAUUUUGUGUUUGAAAACAAAAUUUCUUGCUGUGGAAUUUUCUACUUUUGGCACUGUAUCAGUAGUAAAAAGUUUUGGACUUUGAAGCAUUUCAGACUUCAGAUUUCAUAUUAGGAAUGCUCAGCCCAUAUUUGGAUAGUGAUUUGAUAAAUAUCAAUAGACUGUAAGCUUUGUGGUGAGAGUAUGAGAGCAGGCUCUUUGUUUCUACUGGUGUCAUGGUUUAUGUCAGUGACCAUUCAAGCCUCAUGCAAUCAUGGAUGUGGCCAAAUCUAGCAUUUCUGAAUGGUUCAUUGUCUAACACUUAGAUUGGUGGUAUGAGUGCUACAUCUACACAGGGGUGGAGCGAACAUACAGUGUACCUGUGGGAAGAAGGCCUGCCUUUCUCUUUUGCUCUUCAUGCUUGCUGUUUGUAUCCACCACAAACUGCUGCCUCUCAGCCAUGUCAUUUUGCCUUGGAGCCAACUGAGGAUGGACUGAAACCUCCAAUCUGUAAGAAAUAAACCCUUCAUUCUUUCAUGUUGGGCAUCAGGUAUUUUGUCUCAACAACCAGUGAAAAGUAACUAAAACAACAGGUAAUCAUUGUUUCUCAGUACUCACCUCAAUGUCUGACACAAAAAUGGUGCACUUUUGUUGACAGAAAGAAAACAAGCAGUAGCACACAAUUUUAGAUUUGUAUCACACAGAAUUUCACUACUUAUAAGGCUCUAUAGUGAAAUGAGGUCUCAUCAGAUUUCCUUAGUGUAGGCACUAAGCUUGUCAUUUCUUUUGCUUUAUUAUAGCAAAUAGUGUUCCUCUGUCCAGUUUUCAUUCUCCCUCUGGUCUUAAAAAUCACUUGUAAGCAGUUAUACAAUCUCAUGCUGGGCAUGGAACUCAAGACCUUCUACCUGCUAGGCAAGUCUCUACCUCAAGAUACAUUCCAGCCCUCCCUUUCUUAUCCUGGAAUUUAAGCUAUGGGAAUGUACUAUGGUGGAUGUUCAGUCCAAAUGACUGACCAGGGAACUGUAGUUUUAGGUCCAAGCUGAUUGAAGAUAUUUUCAAGGCUCAGACUCUUGCAUGUGGAAUAUGAAUCAAGAGGUCCAAGGCUAAGAAUCUUGCUAUUAUUUGAUGGAAGUUUUUUUGUCCCUGAGCAAUGUACUGUAGCAGAAUGAUCCCUUGCCUCAGGUGGCAGGAGCUGACUGUCAAAUACCAGGAACAGGGUCUGCAUGCUGACUCUACAAUUGCAGAAAUGACCUUAAACAGAUCCAGUCACUUUUCCAUGCUUAAUUUUCUCACUUAAAAGCAAUCACUUAUUUUAGCAGCUGUACAGAGACUGGAGGUGAGAAACAGCAUUUCCAUGGUGUUCUUGAGUCAGAGGUGGCCAGGAGAAACUGUUUGCAGCUGAUUCUUCAGCCAUGCAUCCCUGGCCAUCAAGGAAGAAGAACAAGGCUGUUGUGUUUCCCUAAGAAAAACAAGAGGACAAUGGCUUGUCCUGCAGUAGGAGGGAGCAGAGGCCUAAAUCAGGUCACCACGCAAUGGGGCUUUGAAAGUUUCACCAUUGAAUCCUCUCCCCAUCCUCUAAUUUUUCUUUUUCUGUUUGCCCCUUAAUCAUUGUUUUGAUAAUUAUGAUAAUAUUCACACAUUUCAAAAAGUCCAACAAACAAGGAGAAAAAAUUAGAAAUAUUUGCACUUUUUCUGUGUAGAAAGGUAACUAUUGUUUGUACAUUUUUAGCGUCCCUUUUCCUAUUAAUGAUUUAUUGUAGACAUGGUUCCAGGGUGACUGAUUUAGGUUGACAUCAUUGUAACAGGAAUUACUGAAAUAGGAGUUAGGAUUCUACUAGGCCUUAAGGCCAGCAGCCCCAAAACAGAAUCUUGAAGUCCAAAAUGGAGCCUGCUGAGUUGUGAUCCUCCAGGGACCUUACCGAAACAUCUGUUGACUGUCCUUCAGCUGUUCCAGACCUUUCCAGAGCAUAAUCUGGCAGGCCAUUGGCUGGAGGGUACAUGGCCUGUGCAUGGGCACUGUGUGAACACUGGUUGGCCUGCUUCGGUGACUCAAGGAAGAUGUUCAUGCGUGAGGUCCCAAGAUUAGAGAAUGUACAUGUUCAAGACGUCAGCAACAAAGACAUGAAGUUUAAAAACCAAAAAAUGACUAAGAGGAAAAAAAGCACAAAACUGAAAAUACAUGGCAGAGAUCACCCCAGGAGGCCUGAAGAGAGUCAUUGGAGUGACUGCACACAGUGGGACAGCACUGUGCACUCUGUGUGGUGAAAUUGCUGGGUACUGUACAUCAAGUGUCAGAUGACGCUUUGACACCAACCACAAAAGUGUUGCUAAACUUGGUGAAACUGAAAGAUAAAGCCAAAUUUGAAGAACUUGAUUGUUCAUCGUAACACUGGUUAGAUUUGGAAAUAUGGAAAUACAAUUAUUGGAAUUUCAAGAAAAACCUGUUGGACAAAUAAUUUCUAUGACAAAUGAGCAACACUUGAGAAGACAGAGUGUGAAAGAAUGACAAAGGACAGCACAGUUGGCAGUUCUGAAAACGAAAUCCUGAGGAAAAAACUCAGCUUCUCCAGAGAAUGGGCCAUAAUGGGCCUAGGAGGAGCCCACCAAGAAAACAACCAGCCAGGCUGUCUGGCAAGCUUUAAAAGCCAUGCGGGGUCCAGGAAGAGAAAAGUCAGCUCCUCCUGUGAGACCACAGGCACAUGGGCUGAGAAUCAACAUCGCUCUCUCCCAUAAGCAACUGGCUGGUUCUGCGGACAUGUUGAGCUGAUAGCAACUGAGGUCCAAAAAGCACCUGAAUGCUUGUAUUGCUUGCUUGACUUUGCAGGUCUGGGGCCAAAGGUCUGAGCAUCUAUUGGGAGGAUAACAUAAUGAAAUAUAGCAAAUAUGGGAGAUUUUCUUCUAUCUUAUCUUUGAAAUCCAAUAUUUUUCUCAUUGUUUUGUUUCAUUCUGAUUGUUUUGCUUUUUUCAGUGUUCCAGUUUGAUGGGUUUUAUUGUUUUCUUUUGGUUUGAUUUUGCUAUAUCUUGUGGAAUGGACAACAAUUGUGAAGAUAAUGAGAUGAACUGUGGUAGCCAUUAUUGUUUUCCUAAUAUCUUGCUUUGAAGUUCUGUGCCAAUUUCACUGCUUUGUUUUUUGCUUUGUUUUGAUUGAGUUUAUUCUGUUUUGUUUGGUUUGUUUGAUUUUUACUAUCUUUAAAGUGAAAAACAAAAUCCUUGAAGUGUGGAACUUUCUGCCAAAUAAUUUAAAAUCGGCCAUGCAUGGUGGUGCAUGCCUGUAAUUCCAGGAAUCAGGAAGUUGAGGCAGAAGGACUGGUGCAAGUUUGAGACCAGCCUGGGCUGUAAAGUGAGCUGGGGAGCAGUCUAAACUAAACUACAUAGUGAGAUCCUGUCUCAAAAAGAGCAAAAAAAAAUUAAGUCAAUGAAAGCACUGGUGAAUUCUUGUGUUACUCUGGAUCAUCUUAUGCUUGUGGGCCACUGUUUUCAGCUUAUUAAAUCUGAUACAUGAAACAGAUUAACAGAUGACUUGAGAAUUGCAUGUGUUCCUCUGAAACUAAUGCAGAAUGAGCCAACCUUUGACAAAUUAUCAGUAUGCAUACACCAGCAAAGAUAUCAUUAAUUUUGUGAAAGCAUACCAAAUGUUAACUGUCACUUUUAAGUAAAAACUUGUUUGUGUCAUAGAAAA